rnacentral:misc_RNA from 1 species
AAGUCGUAACAAGGUUUCCGUAGGUGAACCUGCGGAAGGAUCAUUAUCAAAACAGCGGACUUCGGUCCUUGCUGCACCCUUGUCUUUUGCGUACCGUAUGUUUCCUCGGCGGGCUUGCCUGCCGGUUGGACAUUAUCAAACCUUUUUGUAGUUGCAAUCAGCGUCAGAAAAUAAACAAUAAUUACAACUUUCAACAACGGAUCUCUUGGUUCUG